rnacentral:tRNA from 1 species
GCAGUGGUAGCUCAGGGGUAGAAUUCUAGCCUUCCACGCAGGUGACUCAGGUUCAAUUCCUGGCCAAUGUA